rnacentral:rRNA from 1 species
UACGUAGGGGGCAAGCGUUGUCCGGAUUUAUUGGGCGUAAAGAGCGUGUAGGCGGCCAUACAGGUCCGUUGUGAAAACUGGAGGCUUAACCUCCAGACGUCGAUGGAAACCGUAUGGCUAGAGUCCGGAAGAGGAGAGUGGAAUUCCUGGUGUAGCGGUGAAAUGCGCAGAUAUCAGGAAGAACACCCGUGGCGAAGGCGCUUUCUGGACCGUAGCUGACGCUGAGACACGAAAGCGUGGGUAGCAAACAGG